rnacentral:rRNA from 1 species
AACGAACGCUGGCGGCAGGCUUAACACAUGCAAGUCGAGCGCCCCGCACGGGGAGCGGCCGACGGGUGAGUAACGCGUGGGAACGUACCUUUUGGUUCGGAACAACUCCGGGAAACUGGAGCUAAUACCGGAUAAGCCCUAACGGGGAAAGAUUUAUCGCCGAAAGAUCGGCCCGCGUCUGAUUAGCUAGUUGGUGAGGUAACGGCUCCCCAAGGCGACGAUCAGUAGCUGGUCUGAGAGGAUGAUCAGCCACACUGGGACUGAGACACGGCCCAGACGCCUACGAGAGGCAGCAGUGGGGAAUAUAGGACAAGGGGCGCAAUGCUGAUCCAGCCAUGCCGCGUGAGUGAUGAAGGCCUUAGGGUUGUAAAGCUCUUUUGUCCGGGAAGAUAAUGACGGUACCGGAAGAAUAAGCCCCGGCUAACUUCGUG